rnacentral:rRNA from 1 species
UACGAACCGUGCGAACGUUAUUCGGAAUUAUUGGGCGUAAAGGGUGCGUAGGCGGUUUGGUAAGUCUGAUGUGAAAUCUAUGGGCUCAACUCAUAGUCUGCAUCGGAAACUGCCGGGCUUGAGUAUGGGAGAGGUGAGUGGAAUUCCUGGUGUAGCGGUGAAAUGCGCAGAUAUCAGGAGGAACACCGGUGGCGAAGGCGGGUCUCUGGGCAGUAACUGACGCUGAGGAGCGAAAGCGUGGGGAGCGAACAGG